CAUUAGCCCAAGUAUUAUAAUUGGACUCACCUGUUAAUUUGUCCGAAACCAUCAGGGCUCCGGGAUGAUCGCCUGAAUUCAGAAAGUAAAUUGAAUCUCUGUCAUUCAGUGCUGAGGUGUGAUGAGAUCUUCUUGUUCUUUUGGAGUGAUGAGUGUGAUGCUUUUUGUGGUGGGGAGAUUUUUUUAUGUGAUGCUUUGGAGAUGAUAACGGACUCUGGCGUGGUGGAGAGUGAAGGAGAUGCUUUGCCGCCGACGGAAUUGUUCCAGUAGAAUCGGCGGAGGUAGAGUCAGAUUCUGUUCUGUUCUCGCUG
rnacentral:lncRNA from 1 species